GUGGGGAAUAUUGGACAAUGGGCGAAAGCCUGAUCCAGCCAUGCCGCGUGUGUGAAGAAGGUCUUCGGAUUGUAAAGCACUUUAAGUUGGGAGGAAGGGCAGUAAGUUAAUACCUUGCUGUUUUGACGUUACCGACAGAAUAAGCACCGGCUAACUUCGUGCCAGCAGCCGCGGUAAUACGAAGGGUGCAAGCGUUAAUCGGAAUUACUGGGCGUAAAGCGCGCGUAGGUGGUUUUGUAAGUUGGAGGUGAAAUCCCCGGGCUCAACCUGGGAACUGCAUCCAAAGCUGCAUGACUAGAGUACGGUAGAGGGUAGUGGAAUUUCCUGUGUAGCGGUGAAAUGCGUAGAUAUAGGAAGGAACACCAGUGGCGAAGGCGACUACCUGGACUGAUACUGACACUGAGGUGCGAAAGCGUGGGGAGCAAACAGGAUUAGAUACCCUUGUAGUCC
rnacentral:rRNA from 1 species